rnacentral:rRNA from 1 species
GACGAACGCUGGCGGCGUGCUUAACACAUGCAAGUCGAACGGAAAGGCCCUGCUUUUGUGGGGUGCUCGAGUGGCGAACGGGUGAGUAACACGUGAGUAACCUGCCCUUGACUUUGGGAUAACUUCAGGAAACUGGGGCUAAUACCGGAUAGGAGUUCCUGCUGCAUGGUGGGGGUUGGAAAGUUUCGGCGGUUGGGGAUGGACUCGCGGUUUAUCAGCUUGUUGGUGGGGUAGUGGCUUACCAAGGCUUUGACGGGUAGCCGGCCUGAGAGGGUGACCUGCCAGAUUGGGACUGAGAUACGGCCCGGACUCCAACGGGAGGCAGCAGUGGGGAAUAUUGCACAAUGGGCGGAAGCCUGAUGCAGCAACGCAGCGUGCGGGAUAACGGCCUUCGGGUUGUAAACCGCUUGCGCCUGUGACGAAGCGUGAGUGACGGUAAUGGGUAAAGAAGCACCGGCUAACUACGUG